AGAAAGAUUGUCCCAGGGCUGCUAACUUUGAGACGGGGUGUGUACUCCUCUUUCUC
rnacentral:tRNA from 2 species